rnacentral:rRNA from 1 species
CCUACGGGUGGCAGCAGUGGGGGAUAUUGCACAAUGGGGGAAACCCUGAUGCAGCGACGCCGCGUGGGCGAAGAAGUAUUUCGGUAUGUAAAGCCCUAUCAGCAGGGAGGAAGAACUGACGGUACCUGAGUAAGAAGCACCGGCUAAAUACGUGCCAGCAGCCGCGGUAAUACGUAUGGUGCAAGCGUUAUCCGGAUUUACUGGGGGGAAGGGGAGCGCAGGCGGCACGGCAAGCCUGAUGUGAAAGCCCGCGGCCCAACCGGGGGACUGCAUUUGGAACUACCGGGCUGGAGUGCCGUAGAGGGAGGUGGAAUUCCUAGUGUAGCGGUGAAAUGCGUAGAGAUGAGGAGGAACACCAGUGGCGAAGGCAGCCUACUGGACGGUGACUGACGCUGAGGCUCGAAAGCGUGGGGAGCAAACAGGAUUAGAUACCCCAGUAGUC